GGGUGUAUAGCUCAGUGGUAGAGCACUAGCCUUUUAAGCUUUGUGCCGAGGGUUCAAUUCCCUUUGCACCCA
rnacentral:tRNA from 1 species